rnacentral:rRNA from 1 species
CGAGGGGAGUGAAAAAGAACCUGAAACCGUGUACGUACAAGCAGUGGGAGCACCCUUUGGGGUGUGACUGCGUACCUUUUGUAUAAUGGGUCAGCGACUUAUAUUCUGUAGCAAGGUUAACCGAAUAGGGGAGCCGGAGGGAAACCGAGUCUUAACCGGGCGUUAAGUUGCAGGGUAUAGACCCGAAACCCGGUGAUCUAGCCAUGGGCAGGUUGAAGGUUGGGUAACACUAACUGGAGGACCGAACCGACUAAUGUUGAAAAAUUAGCGGAUGACCUGUGGCUGGGGGUGAAAGGCCAAUCAAACCGGGAGAUAGCUGGUUCUCCCCGAAAGCUAUUUAGGUAGCGCCUCGUGAAUUCAUCUCCGGGGGUAGAGCACUGUUUCGGCUAGGGGGCCAUCCCGGCUUACCAACCCGAUGCAAACUGCGAAUACCGGAGAAUGUUAUCACGGGAGACACACGGCGGGUGCUAACGUCCGUCGUGAAGAGGGAAACAACCCAGACCGCCAGCUAAGGUCCCAAAGUCAUGGUUAAGUGGGAAACGAUGUGGGAAGGCCCAGACAGCCAGGAUGUUGGCUUAGAAGCAGCCAUCAUUUAAAGAAAGCGUAAUAGCUCACUGGUCGAGUCGGCCUGCGCGGAAGAUGUAACGGGGCUAAACCAUGCACCGAAGCUGCGGCAGCGACGCUGAUGCGUUGUUGGGUAGGGGAGCGUUCUGUAAGCCUGCGAAGGUGGCCUGUGAGGGUUGCUGGAGGUAUCAGAAGUGCGAAUGCUGACAUAAGUAACGAUAAAGCGGGUGAAAAGCCCGCUCGCCGGAAGACCAAGGGUUCCUGUCCAACGUUAAUCGGGGCAGGGUGAGUCGACCCCUAAGGCGAGGCCGAAAGGCGUAGUCGAUGGGAAACGGGUUAAUAUUCCCGUACUUGGUGUUACUGCGAAGGGGGGACGGAGAAGGCUAUGUUGGCCGGGCGACGGUUGUCCCGGUUUAAGCGUGUAGGUGUGUGUUCCAGGUAAAUCCGGUU